GAGGGUAUAGCUCACUGGUAGAGGGCAUGCCUAGCAUGCACGAGGUCCUGGGUUCAAAUUCCAGUAACUUCA
rnacentral:tRNA from 1 species